rnacentral:rRNA from 1 species
GACGAACGCUGGCGGCGUGCUUAACACAUGCAAGUCGAACGGAAAGGCCCUGCUUUUGCGGGGUGCUCGAGUGGCGAACGGGUGAGUAACACGUGAGUAACCUGCCCUUGACUUUGUGAUAACUUCAGGAAACUGGGGCUAAUACCGGAUAGGAGCUCCUGCUGCAUGGGGGGGGUUGGAAAGUUUCGGCGGUUGGGGAUGGACUCGCGGCUUAUCAGCUUGUUGGUGGGGUAGUGGCUUACCAAGGCUUUGACGGGUAGCCGGCCUGAGAGGGUGACCGGCCACAUGGGGACUGGGAUACGGCCAGGACGCCUACGGGAGGAAGGAGUGGGGAAUAUUGCGCAAUGGGCGGAGGCCUGGUGCAGGAUCGCCGCGUGCGGGAUGACGGCCUUCGGGUUGUAACCGCUUUCGCCUGUGACGAAGCGUGAGUGACGGUAAUGGGUAAAGAAGCACCGGCUAACUACGUG